UAAGUUUGACAAUAAGAGGAACCACUUAAAUAAAAUUAUGGUGGUGUCACAAAAUCGGAGGCCACGACUGUUUACUAAAAACACAAUUCAGAGCAAUGAUGAAAAUCAUAGUAUUCUGGAUGAAAUUUGCCCGAUGCCAUUAACAUAAAAAAGGUAAUGGGAAACUGUUACUAAUUGAAAGUCUGGUUAAUAGCGGUCUUAACUAUGAGGAUCCUAAGGUAGCAAAAUCAAUUGGCCAUUAAAUGUGGUCUGGUAUCAAUAGUGUAACGAUGGUCUCACUGUCUCUACAACUUGCUCAGUGAAANUGAAUUAUCCGUGCAGAUGCGGAUUGCCUCCAGGUGGACGGGGAA
rnacentral:rRNA from 1 species